AUGUCGUGUGUUUUAAGAGCGUGUCUACUUGUGUCAGGAGUGGGGACAGACACCUCACACUUCGCCACCCCAGCUGAAGGAUGGAGGGCACACGAGGGUGGAAUCCUUCCCGCCACCAAGGAGAUUCUGUCUCAAAUAUCAACUGCAACAAGGAACAGAAUGGAGCAUGAAUGUAGGAGACAGCACUUGCCACCCACCCACUCAUACCAAAUCCCAGCCUUCUCAGACCUGCAAUUCAAAGUGCACUCCCCUGGCAGUGAAGAUCCUACCUGCAGCUGGCUAGGCAGAGUGAAGGCAGCAGCCACCCUGACAGCAAAGUCUGGAAGAGCUCAGCUCUGUGCCAGGAGAUGAGCUGAUGCCCUAGAGCAUGCCCAGCGGCAGGACAUCUGUACUGCCAGCAGAAACACUCAGAGAGACACCACGGGCUGUGGCUAAGCAUGGGGACAUCAUCUGUCCCCCCAUCUCCAUGCAGACAGCCAUUUCAGUCAAACUGUGGACGGCAAUGAAUGGGAGAAGCGGAGGCAUGAGAGUUCUAGCUUUGGCUUUUGAUAACUGUUCAAAGCAAUGCUCAAAAAUAUAUGCCAGGAACACUUCAUAAAGAGAGGGAGAAAGAGACCCUGCCAUAAGGAGCAUGCCAUUUGGAAAAGCAGACAGUCAAAAGGUGAGAAAAGGGAAUAAACCACACAGACAAAGUCUUUAUAGCA
rnacentral:lncRNA from 1 species